rnacentral:tRNA from 1 species
CUGGGGUUGUGGCUCAGUGGUAGAGCACUCACCUAGUACAUGUGAGGCCCUGAAUUCAAUCCUCAGAUCACAUA